rnacentral:rRNA from 1 species
CAAUAGCGUAUAUUUAAGUUGCUGCAGUUAAAAAGCUCGUAGUUGGAUUUCGGGUGGGAAUGACCGGUCCGCCGUUUCGGUGUGCACUUGCUACGCCCACCUUGCUGCCGGGGACGUGCUCUUGAGUUCACGCUCGGGACACGGAGUCGGCGAGGUUACUUUGAGUAAAUUAGAGUGUUCAAAGCAGGCCUACGCUCUGUAUACAUUAGCAUGGAAUAACACGAUAGGACUCUGGCCUAUCUUGUUGGUCUGUAGGACCGGAGUAAUGAUUAAGAGGGACAGUCGGGGGCAUUCGUAUUUCAUUGUCAGAGGUGAAAUUCUUGGAUUUAUGAAAGACGAACUACUGCGAAAGCAUUUGCCAAGGAUGUUUUCAUUAA